rnacentral:rRNA from 1 species
UAAUUUUUAAUUUGAUUUGAAUUAAUUAUUUUACUUUUUUUUUUGCUUAUUUAUUUAAUUUUUAAAUUAAUGUUUAAAGGAUUACUUUUGUUUUAGUUAAUUUUUAUUGUGAAAGAUUAUUUUUUAUUGUAAAGAAAAAGAAAUUUUUUUGUACCUUGUGUAUCAGGGCUGACUAAAUUAUAAAAUUUAUUUUUUUAUCCCGAAUUGGAAUGAGCUAUAUUUUUAUUUAUUUUAAUGUUGAAUAAUUAUUUAUAAUUGAUCUAUUGAAAUGAAACGUUAUUCGUUUUUUAAUAUAUCUGGUUUUUGAUUAAAUAAAUUUAAUUUAGAUUUUUAAUAUAAAUUAUAUUUUACUUUUUUUUUUAUUUAAAUUUUUAAUUUAUUGGGGGACAAGCUUUGAUGAAUAUUUCUAUUAAAUUUGGUUUUUAUUUUAUUAUUAGGAUUAAUAUUUUCUAAUUUUUUAUUUUUUGUAAAUUUACAAAUUUAAGUUUAAUUUUUUUUUGUUUAUAGAUUUUUUAUUCAAUUUUUUUUAUUAAUUUUGUUUAUUAGGUAAUAAUGGUUUGAUUAGUAGAACUAUUUGUGUAUUGUUUAUUUUGAGUUAUGUUAUUUAAAGUAAUUCGGCAAAUUUGUUUCCCACCUGUUUAUUAAAAACAUGUCUUUUUGGAUUAUUAAAAAGUCUGGCCUGCCCAAUGAUAAUUUGAAUGGCCGCGGUAUUUUGACCGUGCUAAGGUAGCAUAAUCAUUAGUUUUUUAAUUGAAGACUGGAAUGAAAGGUUUGAUGAGGAAAUUUCUGUCUCUAUAUAAUUUUUUUUGAAUUUUAUUUUUGAGUAAGAAAGCUUAAUUUUUUUUAAAAGACGAUAAGACCCUAUAGAGUUUUAUUUAUUUUUUUUUUUACUUUUUUUGUAAAUUAUUAAAUUAAAAUUUACUUUAAAUUUGGUUGGGGUGAUCGGAAAAUUUUAAUAACUUUUCUUUUUAUUUACACAAAUUUGUGUUAUUAUGAUCCAUAAUUUGUGAUUUUAAGAUUAAAUUACCUUAGGGAUAACAGCGUAAUUUUUAUUGAGAGUUCUUAUCGAAAUAAAAGGUUGCGACCUCGAUGUUGGAUUAAGAUAAAAUCCUGUAGCAGAAUUUGGGAUAUUAAGUCUGUUCGACUUUUUAAAUCUUACAUGAUCUGAGUUUAGACCGGCGUGAGCCAGGUUGGUUUCUAUCUUUAAAAAUUUAAUUUGCUUUAGUACGAAAGGAUUGGGUUUAA